rnacentral:rRNA from 1 species
GAGACCGGCGCACGGGUGCGUAACGCGUUAUGCAAUCUACCUUUUACAGAGGGAUAGCCCAGAGAAAUUUGGAUUAAUACCUCAUAGUAUGUGAGAAUCGCAUGGUUUUCACAUUAAAGUUCCAACGGUAAAAGAUGAGCAUGCGUCCCAUUAGCUAGAUGGUAAGGUAACGGCUUACCAUGGCGACGAUGGGUAGGGGUCCUGAGAGGGAGAUCCCCCACACUGGUACUGAGACACGGACCAGACUCCUACGGGAGGCAGCAGUGAGGAAUAUUGGACAAUGGGCGCAAGCCUGAUCCAGCCAUGCCGCGUGCAGGAUGACGGUCCUAUGGAUUGUAAACUGCUUUUGUACAGGAAGAAAUACUCCCUCGUGAGGGAGCUUGACGGUACUGUAAGAAUAAGGAUCGGCUAACUCCGUGCCAGCAGCCGCGGUAAUACGGAGGAUCCAAGCGUUAUCCGGAAUCAUUGGGUUUAAAGGGUCCGUAGGCGGUUUAAUAAGUCAGUGGUGAAAGCCCAUCGCUCAACGGUGGAACGGCCAUUGAUACUGUUAAACUUGAAUUAUUAGGAAGUAACUAGAAUAUGUAGUGUAGCGGUGAAAUGCUUAGAGAUUACAUGGAAUACCAAUUGCGAAGGCAGGUUACUACUAAUGGAUUGACGCUGAUGGACGAAAGCGUGGGUAGCGAACAGGAUUAGAUACCCUGGUAGUCCACGCCGUAAACGAUGGAUACUAGCUGUUGGGCGCAAGUUCAGUGGCUAAGCGAAAGUGAUAAGUAUCCCACCUG